GGGUUCGUAGCUCAGUUGGUUAGAGCGUUACGUUGACAUCGUAAAGGUCAGAGGUUCGAAUCCUCUCGGACCCA
rnacentral:tRNA from 1 species